AAACUCCUUGGGGAAAUUCCCCGGAUCUAAAGGCAGAAAAUGCCAACUCCGAAAGGAGUGCCGGUAUCUGUGCCGUUCCAAAUGGCGACGACGGCGUUUGAACGCGCAAGAGCUCGGAGCCGGCCUUUUACCGCGAUCGAAUCAAAGUUAUACCACAUACACGUACUCAACGGGGAUUAC
rnacentral:RNase_MRP_RNA from 1 species